rnacentral:sRNA from 1 species
ACACUUCCUCCUUUUUAAAGGGCUGACAAACAGGCGUCCUUUUCUGAGUCUGUAACUCAGGCUUAGGAUGGUGAGAUAAUAUGUAACAGUUAGGUUAUGAAAAAAACAGGUGAUUUCCAAUUCUGUCUGGGACCUUGUACAGUUCUGAAGGAUCCAUGGGCAGCGACUAAAUGCCAUUUUCCGUGUCAAUUCAAGUAUCGUUCCUUUUAAUUUGUCUUUGGGCUUUGCACACUCAGACUCCAUUUGCUUUUGUUUACUGUUAACAGAAGCUGCAACAUUCAUGCAGAAAUAAUCAUGGACUUGGCUGGUAGAACACAAGGAAGAAGAGAAAAGGGAAACAGAAAACCCCUCUGUCAUUUGACUGUUCUGUCAGCAUGAAAACUACUAGGUUUCUUCCCAGCUUAAAGAGCAACUUUAAAGGAUGCUGUAGUGUGCCAGUAUUUGAAAAAUCCCAAUGUAUCUGAUUCACUGCUGCUGCAGAAUAUUUUCCAAGCUCUGAAUGUAUAUUACAAUUAUUCGGGCCAGGUGAAAUGCCUGAAUAUUUCAGAGACAGCAACUAGCAGUCUGGGA